rnacentral:lncRNA from 1 species
AGUGAGAUUUCCAAAACCGACCUAUAAGGUCAAUAACGUAACUAAUAUCAUAAUUUCAUAUUCAAUCAGUCAGAACAAUAACUUUCGUCAUUUAUCAACCCACUAGUAUCCACGGAGAUCCAUAAGGAUGUAUCCACUACGCGUGAACCAUUUUUUAAUAUUUUCAACUAACGGGCCAUCCUCAUACCUAGUCCGAUAUGAGCACCAAGAAAUACUAUCCAUCAAUCAUCCGUCCGGUAUGAAGGUGAAAUGGGUCGUCCCCAUACCCCAUCUGGUAUGAAUGCCAAAUUACCAAUCCUCGAUAUCCCGUGCGGUAUGAGGCAACGUUCAUG